rnacentral:rRNA from 1 species
AGUGAACGCUGGCGGUAGGCCUAACACAUGCAAGUCGAACGGCAGCACAGGAGAGCUUGCCCUCUGGGUGGCGAGUGGCGGACGGGUGAGGAAUACAUCGGAAUCUACUCUGUCGGGGGGGAUAACGUAGGGAAACUUACGCUAAUACCGCAUACGACCUACGGGUGAAAGCAGGGGACCUUCGGGCCUCGCGCGAUUGAAUGAGCCGAUGUCGGAUUAGCUAGUUGGCGGGGUAAAGGCCCACAAGGGCGACGCUCCGUAGCUGGUCUGAGGGGAUGAUACGCCACCCUGGAACGGAGCAACGGUCCAGACUCCUCCGGGAGGAAGCAGUGGGGAAUAUUGGACAAUGGGCGCAAGCCUGAUCCAGCCAUACCGCGUGGGUGAAGAAGGCCUUCGGGUUGUAAAGCCCUUUUGUUGGGAAAGAAAUCCAGCUGGCUAAUACCCGGUUGGGAUGACGGUACCCAAAGAAUAAGCACCGGCUAACUUCGUGCCAGCCGCCGCCGUAA